CCCAUGCCACUCGCAAACGUCGAGGGACGUGUUGCUCCAUGAAGCUAAAACUCCUGCUGGACCCGAGAGCCAGGACUUGAAACAAAGGAGGGAUUGUCUAUCAUUUUCGGUUUCACCGCAGGUGGCUAAUGUCAGGCAGCAAAAGAAGGCAAAAAGGCAUAGAAACCAAACAAAACCUGGAAACAAGACACCCGAAGACGCCAUUGUUAUUGUUUGCAGGAGUAUGUGGAUGAAAGCUCUGAUUUGUAAGAGGAUGUUUAAGCACUCAACUAUGGAGAGGGAUAGUAGCUAAGCCCUCUAGACAGCAACUUCACGGUCAACGAUCGAUACGACAGGGACAGCCCGGCAGGACGAUGCCUCCAACCUCUGCUUACAUUGCAAUUGUCCCAGCCACCCUCCAACAGCAGCUUGAGGUACAGUGUGGACGCACGCUUUCUCUUGAUGAAUAAUGAACAUGUAGCUCUUGAAGUCGUCGCGCACGCCGCCCGGGAAUAUACCUCGGCGAGAUUUGGCAUUCCUGAUAUCGGAAUGCAUGAACACCCAUACAGGCAACUUAGUCAGAACGGCAUGGUAGCUGGCUGAAGUAUGAACGCACAUCUUCCCCUUUUUCUGUCAUUUACUUUCCUACCUUUGAUGGUCAUGCAUUAGUUAAUGGAGGAAUCAUUGGGAGAGGUAGCUCUAGGCGCCUCGUUGACCUACAACAUUUCUGAUUUCCAAAUGCAUAAAACCCCCUGCAAGCGGCUGGUUCGAAGGCAGCCAUAUCACAGAUCGACUUCAUUUCGACGCAACCACUACAGACUCUGUCUCGGUCUCCAUUCCUUUGCCUGGCUAACGGGGAUGGGGAUGGCACUUGCUCCACGCUCGUCUCUGUCUCUGCGCUCCCUGCUGCUGCUCAUGUCGCACAGGAAGCCACAUCGGAGCUCUUUCUUCUCCUCCUCCGCCGCCGUUCCGCCUGCGGCUCCAGGAACUGCCACUCCGGCUGCUGAUCCUGCCGUUCAGCCUCCAGCCGCUCCAGAUCCUGAUCUUGCAGUUCCUAAAGGUCCGCGCGAAUCUACCCGCGAUGGUCCGCCACGCCAACCUCCUGGAACUAUGGAUAUAGACGCUAAAGACCCCGGCAAGAAGACUCUCUAACAGCUAAUAAUACAAAGUCAGUGGGAGCCUUUCCCACAUUCCUCAAGGUUCAAAAAAGAAAAAGAAAAAAAAGACACCGGCAAGUCAUCAGAGUUCGCCUACGGCACUUCAACGUGUACUCCUUGAUCAGCCACCCACCGUACGAACUGCAGAAGCCCUCCUCUUCCGGAAGAAUAUUGAAUUAUUGCCAACUGUUCAGGUGCUACGAGCAAAUGCUUGCUGCGGUUACUGCCGUGUUACCUCUGUGGACAUGUAAUCUCAGCGCUGUCAUAUUAUUGAUCUUUGUACCGUUCCAAUCCACUUCAACAAAUAAAGGUGUGCGUUAGAUUUU